rnacentral:rRNA from 1 species
UGGGGGAUAUUGCACAAUGGGCGAAAGCCUGAUGCAGCGACGCCGCGUGGGGGAUGAAGGCCUUCGGGUUGUAAACUUCUUUUGCUCUGAACAAGGCAUGCCUUUGGGGUGUGUGGAGUGUAGGGGUUGAUUAGCGCCGGCUAACUACGUGCCAGCAGCCGCGGUAAUACGUAGGGCGCGAGCGUUGUCCGGAAUUAUUGGGCGUAAAGGGCUUGUAGGUGGCUGGUUGCGUCUGUCGUGAAAGCUCAUGGCUUAACUGUGGGUUUGCGGUGGGUACGGGCUGGCUUGAGUGCAGUAGGGGAGGCUGGAAUUCCUGGUGUAGCGGUGGAAUGCGCAGAUAUCAGGAGGAAUACCGGUGGCGAAGGCGGGUCUCUGGGCUGUUACUGACGCUGAGGAGCGAAAGCGUGGGGAGCGAACAGG